GCGCUGGUGGCGUAGCAUCGCUGUCCGGAAAGCAGAAGUAGCGGGUUCGAACCCCGCCUGGCGCA
rnacentral:tRNA from 1 species